rnacentral:sRNA from 1 species
UAAUGGGUUAAAACAAUUAAACGUUUAAUUAAAUAAUUGGGGUUUUUAAUAAUUGGGGGGUAAAAUUAUAAUUAUAUUUUAAUAAAUAUACAAAUUAAUUAAAAUUUAAUUGCUAUUAAACAAUUUUAAAGUUAAAUUAAUUUAUAUAAUAAUAAACGUAUUUUAUAUAAAUUAUAUUUGAAAUAUAGUUUUUUUUAAUUUGUUUAAUUUGUAGUUUCCAAUUAAAAUUCCACAAAUUACCGAAAUUAAUUCCUUUAUUAAUUACGUGGUAUUACGCAAUUUGUUUUUUAUAUAAUUCUUUUUUGCCGGUCGUUAAUUCUUUUGGGGGAAUAUUAUAAAAAGGGGUGUAACCCCGCCUGGUUUUCCAAGUGCCGACCCAACUAUUUAAUUGUAAUACCAAAGGUCCAGUCGAAUAAAUAACGCCCGGGUUAAUAAUUUUAUUACGGAAAUAAUUAAAUCUUGGCGGUUUUAUAUUAUAAACCCGGUUAUUAACGCUAUUAAACCGGAAAACCGUUAAAAUAUAAACGAAAUUAAUAUAAUGGAAAAUAAAAAAUUUAACGGCCUGGUAUUAGGGUUUAACAGGAUUCCGCCAUUGCAACGGAAAAAGCCCGGAACGCGGGGUUGGACAAUUAUAAUCGAAUAUAUAUCGGUUACGGGCGUUACCCUCCCUUUUCUUAUUAUAUUUAAAGGAAAAAACGUAUAAUAAUAAUAAUUUCCGACGGAUUUAAAUUCUUUUAAUAAUUGGUAAUUUUACGCAACCGAUAACGGGUGGACAAAUAACAAAACGGUUAUUAAAUGGUUAAAAAAAAGGUUUAUUCCGUAUAUUUAACUUUUAACCCCUGAAAAACGGUUAUUAAUUUUGGAUAAUUAUAAAUUAUAUAUAACGGACGAAUAUAUAUUUUUUUGUUUGCAAAAUAAUAUUUAAUUUUUAUAUCUACCUUUUUAUUCGUUAUAUAGUUUUCAACCAUUGGUAUUUAUUGGUUUUUGGGCUGUUAAAAAAUUUAUUAACGUUAAUUUGGAUUUAUUAACCAAUUUUGCUAUUUAACAAUUAUUGGAAAACAAAAUUUCCUAUUUUAAUAUCGAAAAACCAAAUUAAAAAUAUUUAUAACAAAAACCAUUUAAUUUAAUUGGCGUAUAGCGGGGUUAUGGCCGGUAAAUUUGGUUAAACUAUUCUUAAAUUUUUCUUUAUUAAAAAAUAAUAAUUUCAACGUUAUAAAAAAUUAAAAUAACGGUUUGGAAAGGGAUAAUAUACCGGAAAAUCCAACCCAAAAAAUUAACGACCCGUUUUUAUUUUUUUGGAAAACCCCUAAAUAACCCGAAAUAUCCGAUUUCAAUUGCAAAAAUUUUCCCAAUUCAACAUAACCAACGUUAUUUGACGUUUUUUAUUUGCAAAAAUCCAAAAAAGUUUCGAAGCCAAAAAUACCUUUUUAGUUAACGCCCAGCAAAAAAUUAAUUUAUUGGAAAUACAAUUAAAAAUAAUACGGCCGGUUAAAAAAAGGAGGGUGGUUCCGGAUCCAAACGAAUUUUUGGUUAGCAAAUAAAAUAUUAUUGGAUUGCAGGAAAAUAAUAUAGAAAAUUUGAAACUUUUAGCUUAU